UUUAACUUAGUAUAAAUAAAAUUACAUCUUAUUUACAAUGAGAAAAUGUUCUUCAAUAGUUAAAA
rnacentral:tRNA from 1 species